GGGCGAUUAGUUAAAUGGUAUAACUUCGGUCUCCAAAACCGACGUCGUAGGUUCGAUUCCUACAUCGCCCGCAA
rnacentral:tRNA from 1 species